rnacentral:misc_RNA from 1 species
UUAACUUAUUUUAUAGUACUCAGACGACAUUAAUUAAAAGUAUUAGGGGGCCUCUGGCAGGAGCGCCUGUUACAACGCUGAAGGAAGAUCACUAUCGCCACUGUUUUACGAGCGGCUCCAGUCCUCAACCAUCCUACCAAAGCAACAAGAGUAAAUAACACAGGGUGGGAGGUCUACCCCAGGGGGCAUGAACUCUGUAAUGAUCCUUCCGCUGGUUCACCAACGGAAA